AAUUUUAGAUAUAUUCACUUUUUAAAUUUAAUAAUGAUUACAUUUAAGUCCUUCUUCACACAUUCUUUCAGCAUGUAUUCUGCAUAUAUACUGUAACUCGCCUAAGCUUCAUAAUGGUCUGCACCUUGAUCUGUCCUAUUAGGUAACUAAUACGAUAAUAUAUUAUAUAUUAUCUGCUGGCGACGGCAUACAAAAUAUUAUAUGAAGUAGAUUACCUUGGUGGUUAUCAAUUACUUGGUAAGUUCCCCUAAAUUUUAAAAUUACCGCCAUGCUAUUUGAGUUUUCACCACGUAGGGUCUUAGUACUCAGUAUUGUUGAGUGUGUAUUGAAUAAAAGGGUAUCUAAUCCUUGUUUUUGGGCAAUAUUUGGCAAGUAUCAGGUUAUGUAAGGUUAUAUAAUUAUUUCACCAAAUUUAUGAUAUAAACUGUAUACACUUUCAAGGUUUAUUACUAUAAAAGUCUGACCGCGACUGCUGGCACUUUUUUAGUCAUAGUAGUUUAAAAUUGGUUUAAUCUUAUUUUCAUAAAUUUUAAAUUUUCUUGCCUGGUCACGCCUUUAAGUACCAUUAGUAUCCCGUUUUUAAUAAAUCGUUCACCAU
rnacentral:rRNA from 1 species